rnacentral:ribozyme from 1 species
AAGGAAAGGAAAGGAAAAUGAAAUGAUAUAUGUAUAUAUAUGUAUAUACUUUUUUCUCCUUUUAUUUUUCUUUCUCUUCCUAUUUUUUCACUAAACGUUUAGAUUAAAAAUGUAUCCAUGCAUCUUGGUCCCUUGCCUUUUCAAGGAAUCUCAAGCCAACUACUUUCGUGUAUUAUCUUAAUCUUAAAUUGUCUAUCUUGAAAAGAAUAUAGCAUGCUUAUGAAUCAAAAC